UUAGCAAGUGAUGAUAGACCAGACAGGGACAUCUGUAUUCUUUUUGAACAUGAUGAUUUGUCUGUGGGAAUCUCUCUGAUGCUUAGAUUUCUAUGAAUAUUAUUAUUUAUUAUUAUUUUUGUUGUGUUUAUAACUUUUUUUUGGUAGAGAGUUUGCCAAUGAUGCAUUAUAUUUGCACGUAUUAUCAGAAAAAAAUAGUUGAUGAUAAACAAAUAUUGUCACUACCUCUGAGGCA
rnacentral:lncRNA from 1 species